rnacentral:rRNA from 1 species
UACGGAGGGUGCGAGCGUUGUCCGGAAUCACUGGGCGUAAAGGGCGCGUAGGCGGCAUGCCAAGCGUGUGGUGAAAGCCCGGGGCUCAACCCCGGGUCGGCCCGUGCGGACUGGCGUGCUUGAGCACUGUAGGGGCGGUGGAAUUCCGGGUGUAGCGGUGGAAUGCGUAGAGAUCCGGAAGAACACCGGUGGCGAAGGCGGCCCGCUGGGCAGGAAGACGGAGCAAUCCGUCGGCUGACGCUGAGGCGCGACAGCGUGGGGAGCAAACAGG